GACGAACGCUGGCGGCGCGCUUAACACAUGCAAGUCGAGCGAGAACCAGGCCUUCGGGCCUGGGAAAGCGGCGAACGGGUGAGUAACACGUGGGUAACCCACCCUCGGUACCGGGAUAGCCCGAGGAAACUCGGAUUAAUACCGGAUGGCCCAACAGGCUUUUUCGGGGCGGUUUGGGAAAGGUAGCUUCGGCCUCCGACCAAAGGACGGCCCGCGGCGGAUUAGCUUGUUGGUGAGGUAACGGCUCACCAAGGCGACGAUCCGUAGCUGGUCUGAGAGGACGAUCAGCCACACUGGGACUGAGACACGGCCCAGACUCCUACGGGAGGCAGCAGUGGGGAAUCUUGCGCAAUGGGCGAAAGCCUGACGCAGCGACGCCGCGU
rnacentral:rRNA from 1 species